rnacentral:rRNA from 1 species
GAUGAACGCUAGCGGCAGGCUUAACACAUGCAAGUCGAGGGGUAUAGUUCUUCGGAACUAGAGACCGGCGCACGGGUGCGUAACGCGUAUGCAAUCUACCUUUCACAAAGGGAUAGCCCAGAGAAAUUUGGAUUAAUACCUUAUAGUAAUACGACUUGGCAUCAAGAUGUAUUUAAAGAUUUAUCGGUGAAAGAUGAGCAUGCGUCCCAUUAGCUUGUUGGUAAGGUAACGGCUUACCAAGGCAACGAUGGGUAGGGGUCCUGAGAGGGGGAUCCCCCACACUGGUACUGAGACACGGACCAGACUCCUACGGGAGGCAGCAGUGAGGAAUAUUGGACAAUGGGCGCAAGCCUGAUCCAGCCAUGCCGCGUGCAGGAAUAAGGUCCUAUGGAUUGUAAACUGCUUUAUACAGGAAGAAACCANACCCUCGUGAGGGUACUUGACGGUACUGUAUGAAUAAGGACCGGCUAAUCCGUGCCAGCA